AUCUUACUUUGCUGAACAUUAUUGCUGUUUACAGUUUAUCUCUAUCUAUAAUAAUAUUCAAGAUAAUAACCAAUAAAAUGCUUCGCUGGGGCGCAGCUUGAUACGACCGCAGAGGUCGAACCCUGAACAGUUGGGGCAAGUAUGGACACAAAAUUCAAGCUUGAUACAGCUAUGACUUUGGAUUGUCAUUAAAUAUUUGACACAGCAUAGGUUUCUGACACAGGAUGAAUGUGGUGUAAGAACUGGAAAAAAUUUAAUUUACCUAUUAUGGUGGAAUAUCCAUAAACUAAAUUGUUUGUUAAUUUCAAUAUAUCAAAGAAUAUGUAGAAUUCAAUGUUUGAUGUAAUGUAAUAAAGUUGAAAUUUGGACUGUUUUUGUUCAAUGUGGACCAAUUUGGUAACAUGUAUAAAUAAUCAAAAAUCUAAAUACAUGGGAGCCCAUUUAAAUACAUCAUAAAGGUAUUAAAAUAGAAAGUGACAUCAUAGUCAUGGCUAAAAAUAAACAAAAAUCCUUAAUCAGCAACAUUUAAAGUAAUAUCUAAAAAUAAAAUUCCUUUGUAACCAUAAAAGCCCAUUUAAAUACAUCAUAAAGAUAUUAAAAUAGAAAAUGACAUCAUAGUCAUGGCUAAACAUAGCAAAAAACCCUUAAUCAGCAUCAUUUAA